GCUAAUAUAGCAUAAUCUGGCUUUGCUAAAGAUCUAAGCCCUUUCCAUAGAAGUUCAAAUCUUCUUAUUAGCU
rnacentral:tRNA from 1 species